UUUAAUGAAAUGAUGCAUAAAUAUAGCCACAUAACCAUGUUUCAAACACAUACUCUUUAAUUUCCUAUCAGCGUGGCGGUUCCUCGAAUAGCAGUGACUUACUCCAACAGAAAGUUAGCUAAUUGUGGACUUUGGAAAAGUAUUUUAGUUGGUUAGGACAGAAUUUCUGCACUCAUACAAGGAAGCUCUUUUGUACCAUAUGACAAAAAGAGUGGUGUUUUACUUAAUGUAUGGUAAUAAAAUUACGUUUCUUUAUGAUAAUACCUGCCGAUCAUAGAGACUCAGCCCUGCUUCUGGAAACUUAUUGAUGGCAGUGAUUGAAGUGGGUUAUGAAACACUUCAGGUACUUCCAACAUAAGUAAGAACAUUAUGGAGUUACAAUCAUGUCCCAGUGUAAGAGGUCUAUUGAAUGACCUAUCAGAAGACAGUGGAAUAACUUGAUAUGAACACUGAAAUUGUGAAAUUGGUUGUGCCAAAAAAAUCUCAACAGUAGCAAAAUAUGAAAAGAACAAAUGUUCUCAGACAGGAAAAAAGCACAAAUAUCAAAAUAAAAAAUCAUGCUGUUAUUCUUUGAAGAUUGUAACUAUGCUAAGAAAGUGAAUCUGCUUUUAUCAGGAACACUUGUUUUAGUACAACAGCAAAGACUGCUUGAAACUCAGAAAUCAAAUUGAUUUAUUUCUUCCUAUUAAUACUGUAUAAUAGUAUUCAAUUCAUUCAUUAAAGUGUUUGCCAACAGUGAGGAGCAAAUGACAGGCAAACACUGAUACUGCUCUUGACUAUAACUUACCAGGUAGUCCACCUAUAUACAAAGGGCUAUUGGUGCUUGCUUCAGUAAAUAUCCCAUUGCCUGAAUGACCAUACGCUGUAGCAAAAUUAUCAACCCUAAGAUUCAGCACAUCAUUUUCAAAAAAUGCCUUCACAUGAUGCCAUCUGUUGUCACAUACAGUGAAUCGUGAUGGAAAUCCUUGCUCCACAUGGAAUGGGCGUUGGUUCCCCAUGUCACCAGUCAUAAUCACCUAUUUAACAAGGGAUCACCCAAAUAUUAUUUUAAAAUAAGGUUUUCAGUUAAAAGGAAAACAUUCAUUACCAAGAUAGCAAUGUCACACAGCUCGAUUAGCAUUACAUGACAUUUGCAAAAGGCACAGUGAAAGUUUGCAAAUAAGCAUUGUGUACUUUGAAGAUUGCACCUGUAUAAACAAAUAUUUGUCGCAACUGAAAGUGUGACAUUGACAAAGACAAAUAUAAUAAUUACAAGGCACAAUGGAAACUAUGGUUUUAUGGAUGAAGUAUCGGUAAAUAUUUUAAAACUAACAUUAAACACUAUAGAAAUGGAUUACAAAGGUGAUUCCAAAUAAUACAUGAGGUGGCCAGAGUACUUCCCCAGUUUUAGAUUCAUGGGCAAACACAGACCAUGUUUUGUUUUAAGUGGUUGUGCAGGCAAAUAUAAGAAUCGUACACUAAACUGGUUUUUACAAGUAUAGAAUUUCACUAUCACUACACUUCAAACAUUUGUUCAUUCAUUCUUAAGGGUACACUUUCACAUCAUAAGGGGAAAAUUGUAUAAUAAAUCCAGCUUGUUUUAUAGUUACAAACUGUGCAAGGAAGUGGAGGCAAAUAUGUGAGUAAAUGCAGUGUAUUUUGUCUAUGAUUUUGAACUCACUGGGUGCAGUUAUUUCCUCUGAGAGAAUUAAAAUAACCUGUAUUACUUUAUGAUUAAAUGAAUUGUGGAAAUGGC